AUCUGUACUUUCACUUGUAAACUUCCGGUUGUUCACAAAGAAGUUAUAAGUGUUUGUUGCCCAACAUUGCGAUACUUAUUGGUGUAACCAUAUGCAAGAAACCUUCAGCAUUUCAGAAUUCAUCGAGAUAGAGUUUGCUGGAGUAGAGUCAUUAAAAUCCGUGGAUAUCGUUUUCAUGUAAAGAGAAUUUCAAUAAUCAUGAACAAUCACCCUGGACAUACUCCCCCUACAUCUGGUGCCCCACAUGGACCUCACCCUGGGUCUGGACCUGGACCACAUAUGGCAGGCAAGGUUUACCCACAUGACCAGCCAAUGGUGUUCAACCCAUCUAAUCCAAAUGCUCCUCCCAUUUAUCCAUGCGGAGCUUGUCAUAAGGAAGUACAUGACAAUGAUCAAGCUAUUCUUUGUGAGAGCGGUUGUAACUUCUGGUUCCAUAGGAUAUGCACAGGACUCAGUGAGCCUGCCUUCCACAUGCUCACCCAAGAAGUUUAUGCAGAGUGGGUGUGUGACAAGUGCUUAGCAACCAAGAACAUUCCGCUCAUCAAACUUAAAUCAUGAACUUCAAAAUGUUUGCUACCAAAUCUGUACUUGUAUAUGUAUUGGAACAAAUGAUCUGGAUGUGGACAAUGGUGCAACCGUGACUGUAAUUUAGAAGAAGAUGAAUCUGCAAUUUUUCAUAUGAAACGCAAAGGAGAACUAAUUUGUAAUUCAAACGUACCUGAUCCACAAGCUGAUGCAUGCAUGCUGCAUCUACUUCAGCAUUUGUACUGUUCUGUGAACAUUUUGAAUGUGAGAACAGCACAAGAACAUUUCAACAGAUGAAUACAGGAUUUAGAUUCAUUUUCUGUACUAUAUGUGCAUUUGACACUGCCCAUGAACAUGAAUCUCCAAAUCCACAUCAAGCUACAGCCAAAAUUGAUUCACUUGAUUAUGGUAUAACACAUUUUUCACGUAAAUAUGCAUAUACCUGAUAAAGAUGAUAAAUUUUUUAAUGCAUUUUGUAGAAUGAAUUUGAAAUUAGAUUUUUAUUUUAUCAAAUUACAUGUAUAUUUUCUUUCCAAAUGGUCUAAAUAGGUUUUAUGACUUUUUUGGUAAUUUCUGAAGAUUUGUAUGAACCACUUCAGAUUUUUAUUUUGUGAUUCAUUGGUUGUGAAAACAUAUCUAUCUAGGAUGCAGUUUUAAAUAAAUUGGUAGAAUCCUU